rnacentral:misc_RNA from 1 species
GUCUGCCUCUGUUUGAAGUCACCAGUUCUAAUGACCUUUGAGUCUCACCACCAACUUAGGAAGGAUCGCAGCAGAGUUUCCAGCAAGUCCUCAAAAUCCAUGGCCGGGUUUUGCGCUAGUGGCCUUCACGCGCCAUCUUUUUGUUUAUGGAGAUCUCUCACAUGCCGGUGCGUGGCUUGUCUAUCUGCUGACCGGUGCUUCCUCUGAUGUCGCCCAAGCACUUCCAGUGGAUUUCUGGUAUUGGUUUGUUCUUCAAGGGUCUCGAUUUGCUACUGUCCAAUUUCUGCUUCAGCUAUUUGCUACUAUUUAGUACAAGUUCUAAUUAUGUUUCCUACUGUUGGGUUGUACUGAUUUUGGGUGUUUUUGCUUUGGAUAAAAUGACUGAUAACAAAGCCUCUGUAACUGAAAUAAUUCCAGCCCAAACUAAAAUUACAGAAUACAAGUUAAAUGGGUCUAAUUAUUUAGACUGGAGUAAAACCAUUAAGAUUUAUUUGCGUAGUAUUGAAAAGGAUGACCAUCUUAUUAAAAACCCCCCAACUGAUGGAACUAGAUAGGCUUGGAUACGAGAUGAUGCUAGAUUAUUUUUGCAAAUUAGAAACUCUAUUGAUAAUGAAGUUGUUGGUGUAAUUAAUCAUUGUGAAUUUGUUA